rnacentral:rRNA from 1 species
GUGCACGCUGGCGGUAGGCCUAACACAUGCAAGUCGAACGGCAGCACAGUAAGAGCUUGCUCUUACGGGUGGCGAGUGGCGGACGGGUGAGGAAUACAUCGGAAUCUACUUUUUCGUGGGGGAUAACGUAGGGAAACUUACGCUAAUACCGCAUACGACCUACGGGUGAAAGCAGGGGAUCUUCGGACCUUGCGCGAUUGAAUGAGCCGAUGUCGGAUUAGCUAGUUGGCGGGGUAAAGGCCCACCAAGGCGACGAUCCGUAGCUGGUCUGAGAGGAUGAUCAGCCACACUGGAACUGAGACACGGUCCAGACUCCUGCGGGAGGCAGCAGUGGGGAAUAUUGGACAAUGGGCGCAAGCCUGAUCCAGCCAUACCGCGUGGGUGAAGAAGGCCUUCGGGUUGUAAAGCCCUUUUGUUGGGAAAGAAAAGCAGCAGGUUAAUACCCCGCUGUUCUGACGGUACCCAAAGAAUAAGCACCGGCUAACUUCGUG